UAGUUUGAUCUUGGCUACGAGGACGAACGCUGGCGGCGUGCUUAACACAUGCAAGUCGAACGGUGAAGGGACCGGUUUUUGCCGGUUCUGGAUGAGUGGCGAACGGGUGAGUAACACGUGAGUAACCUGCCCCCUUCUUCUGGAUAACCGCAUGAAAGCGUGGCUAAUACGGGAUAUUCUGGGUCUGUCGCAUGGCGGGUCUGGGAAAGAUGCGCCUUUGGGUGUUUUGGUGGGGGAUGGGCUCGCGGCCUAUCAGCUUGUUGGUGGGUGAUGGCCUACCAAGGCGGUGACGGGUAGCCGGCCUGAGAGGGUGGACGGUCACACUGGGACUGAGACACGGCCCAG
rnacentral:rRNA from 1 species